AACCUAGCACACCUGCGGUGUGUACCUGCGGAGGGAUCAUUAAACAACUAGGCCGUAACAAGCCUUGAACCCUUCUCUACGCGCACCCUUACCUUCUCCUUCGGCGGGUCAGCGCCCGCCGUCGGAACCAACAAACCCCCUUUUGCAUCUAGCAUACCACCCGUUCCGAUACAAAACACAAUCGUUACAACUUUUAACAACGGAUCU
rnacentral:misc_RNA from 1 species